ACCUAGUACGAGAGGAACCGUUGAUU
rnacentral:snRNA from 1 species